rnacentral:rRNA from 1 species
UACGAAGGGGGCGAGCGUUGUUCGGAAUUACUGGGCGUAAAGGGCGCGUAGGCGGCCGAUCAAGUCAGAUGUGAAAGUCCUGGGCUUAACCUGGGGACUGCAUUUGAUACUGAUUGGCUUGAAUUCGGGAGAGGAUAGCGGAAUUCCCAGUGUAGAGGUGAAAUUCGUAGAUAUUGGGAAGAACACCGGUGGCGAAGGCGGCUAUCUGGACCGACAUUGACGCUGAUGCGCGAAAAGCGUGGGGAGCAACAUG